rnacentral:rRNA from 1 species
AGCGGCAACAGCUCAAAUUUGAAAGCUGGCCUUCGGGUCCGCAUUGUAAUUUGUAGAGGAUGCUUUGGGUGAAACGCCAGUCUAAGUUCCUUGGAACAGGACGUCAUAGAGGGUGAGAAUCCCGUAUGUGACUGGAAAUGUUAACCUAUGUAAAGCUCCUUCGACGAGUCGAGUUGUUUGGGAAUGCAGCUCUAAAUGGGAGGUAAAUUUCUUCUAAAGCUAAAUAUUGGCGAGAGACCGAUAGCGCACAAGUAGAGUGAUCGAAAGAUGAAAAGCACUUUGGAAAGAGAGUUAAAAAGCACGUGAAAUUGUUGAAAGGGAAGCGCUUGCAAUCAGACUUGUUUAAACUGUUCGGCCGGUCUUCUGACCGGUUUACUCAGUUUGGACAGGCCAGCAUCAGUUUCGGCGGCCGGAUAAAGGCUCUGGGAAUGUGGCCUUCACUUCGGUGAAGGUGUUAUAGCCCAGGGUGUAAUACGGCCAGCCGGGACUGAGGUCCGCGCUUCGGCUAGGAUGCUGGCGUAAUGGUUGUAAGCGACCCGUCUUGA